GCCAUCUUUCCUUCCACGUGCGGAGGAAUCAGCCUGAGAAUGAAACCAUCGCAGGAAAGGGCUGAAAGACAGUGAGUGUGUGCUUUCUAAGGGCAGCAUUUGAGCCUAGGCCCCAGCCGGCCCUGAAGCCAGCACAAUCCUCGGAACGUCUCAAUUUUGUGAGCCAAUAAAUGCCCUUGAUUGUUUAGGCAAGUUUUCACUGGGUCUUACCCCACGUGAGCCCCCACUCCUCCAUAUGGACCUGUUUUGGACCAACGAGGCAUCCCCUUCUGUAGUCCUCAACACGGGGAGCUCCACCACUGCCUAGCCGUGUGACCUCAGGUGCUUGCUGCAGAGGCAUCGGGGGUCUCUGGCCAGAGGCGACAUCUAAAGCAAUCGGGAUCCUGUUUGGUUUUACCACAUCCGACCUGCCGCCCAGCCGGGGCAAGACAGCCACGCGCAGCGGAUGCACCGGCCCUGAACUCUUUCUCGAGUAGUCCCCAGAGAUUUCAGGAAGAGAGAGAAGAGGUAAAGAGACCAGAAACAAAGUCUUUUGCAAGCAAAGAACUGCAACAGGCCCCAGCUGUUAGGUUUGAGGGGCAUAUGGGCCAGGCGACUGAACUGCACAGUUGGGGCCAGAGGUACGGUUGCUGACCCCUGAGCCCAGGAGCCUUGAGAAUAUGGACAGUGUUAAUAAUAACUGCAAACAUCCAACAGAUGAUGCUAGAAUAACUGGACAUCUGUGUGCAAAAAUAAUGAACCUAUACCUUGCACCUUA